AGUGAACGCUGGCGGUAGGCCUAACACAUGCAAGUCGAACGGCAGCACAGGAGAGCUUGCUCUCUGGGUGGCGAGUGGCGGACGGGUGAGGAAUACAUCGGAAUCUACUUUUUCGUGGGGGAUAACGUAGGGAAACUUACGCUAAUACCGCACACGACCUACGGGUGAAAGAAGGGGACCUUCGGGCCUUACGCGAUUGAAUGAGCCGAUGUCGGAUUAGCUAGUUGGCGGGGUAAAGGCCCACCAAGGCGACGAUCCGUAGCUGGUCUGAGAGGAUGAUCAGCCACACUGGAACUGAGACACGGUCCAGACUCCUACGGGAGGCAGCAGUGGGGAAUAUUGGACAAUGGGCGCAAGCCUGAUCCAGCCAUACCGCGUGGGUGAAGAAGGCCUUCGGGUUGUAAAGCCCUUUUGUUGGGAAAGAAAUCCAGCUGGCUAAUACCCGGUUGGGAUGACGGUACCCAAAGAAUAAGCACCGGCUAACUUCGUGCCAGCCGCCGCGGUAA
rnacentral:rRNA from 1 species